GCCUAUGAAGCAUUUGACAAGUCAGUCACACAUCUUUACAGGCCUUUCACUGCUCACUAAAGCAGUAUUCCUUUGCACAAAUGAGGAAGAAAUACGAGGGUGCAAUGCCUCUAAUCAUGGAAGUCGACGCACCACGGCACCGUAGCUCACCGCUACGGGAGUCAAGAAUACUGAGCACAAGAAAUUGACGGGCCGUUCAUCUGGAUACUACGUAGAUUUAGCGGAGAAAGUUAAUAACAAGCAUUUCUACAGGUCUCCCAGACAACCUCAAG